rnacentral:tRNA from 1 species
GCGCCGAUGAUCUAGUGGUAUGAUUCUGGCUUCCCGAGCCAGUUGUCCGGGUUCAAUAACAGUCUUGGGUGUUGAGUGUUGGGUGCCGAUUAAGAUGUCCUGAGCCUUCGGUCUUCAGUCAACACUCAAAAUCGUGUCUCGUAGACGCGAGACAUCUCUGCAUCUCGAAAGAACAGGCAGAGAUGCAGACUUUAUAGAGUGUAUAGACAAGACUCAAGACCGUUGUGUCUCCCGGUCGGCGCA